rnacentral:rRNA from 1 species
AUGGUUUGCAAAAGUUUCAUCACCAAUUCACCAUAUGACAUUCUUGAAAAACGUGGCAAAAAAAUUAAAUUGAUGCUCCAAAAUGAUGCGACCAAUAAAAAUAUUCAUCAAUGUUUGGCAAAGAAGAAUCAGUUUUUUUACUUUAUUUCACUACUCAACACUUUCGAGUUGGUUGGUAACUUGAACUGCGUUCAUGUCCGGUGGGAUAUGCUGCAGCUGGUGUUGACUAGUAGUGGAGCGUGUUUUCUUGUGUAUUUCUACAGCAUGAAGUACUCCCCCGGUCCUUUUUACUCUGCACAUUGGAUUUGCCGAAAGUCAAAUUUUGCUAAGUUUGAUCAAAUUUAG